rnacentral:rRNA from 1 species
AUACGUAGGUGGCAAGCGUUGUCCGGAUUUACUGGGCGUAAAGGAUGCGUAGGCGGAUAUUUAAGUGAGAUGUGAAAUUCCCGAGCUUAACUUGGGAGCUGCAUUUCAAACUGGAUGUCUAGAGUGCAGGAGAGGAGAAUGGAAUUCCUAGUGUAGCGGUGAAAUGCGUAGAGAUUAGGAAGAACACCAGUGGCGAAGGCGAUUCUCUGGACUGUAACUGACGCUGAGGCAUGAAAGCGUGGGUAGCAAACAGGAUUAGAUACCCUGGUAGUCCAUGCCGUAAACGAUGAGUACUAGGUGUAGGAGGGUCCAACCUUCUGUGCUGCAGUUAACGCAAUAAGUACUCCGCCUGGGAAGUACGAUCGCAAGAUUAAA